rnacentral:rRNA from 1 species
CCUGGCUCAUGUAUGAACGCUAGCUACAGGCUUAACACAUGCAAGUCGAGGGGCAGCAUGGUCUUAGCUUGCUAAGGCCGAUGGCGACCGGCGCACGGGUGAGUAACACGUAUCCAACCUGCCGUCUACUCUUGGACAGCCUUCUGAAAGGAAGAUUAAUACAAGAUGGCAUCAUGAGUCCGCAUGUUCACAUGAUUAAAGGUAUUCCGGUAGACGAUGGGGAUGCGUUCCAUUAGAUAGUAGGCGGGGUAACGGCCCACCUAGUCUUCGAUGGAUAGGGGUUCUGAGAGGAAGGUCCCCCACAUUGGAACUGAGACACGGUCCAAACUCCUACGGGAGGCAGCAGUGAGGAAUAUUGGUCAAUGGGCGAGAGCCUGAACCAGCCAAGUAGCGUGAAGGAUGACUGCCCUAUGGGUUGUAAACUUCUUUUAUAAAGGAAUAAAGUCGGGUAUGGAUACCCGUUUGCAUGUACUUUAUGAAUAAGGAUCGGCUAACUCCGUGCCAGCAGCCGCGGUAAUACGGAGGAUCCGAGCGUUAUCCGGAUUUAUUGGGUUUAAAGGGAGCGUAGAUGGAUGUUUAAGUCAGUUGUGAAAGUUUGCGGCUCAACCGUAAAAAUUGCAGUUGAUACUGGAUAUCUUGAGUGCAGUUGAGGCAGGCGGAAUUCGUGGUGUAGCGGUGAAAUGCUUAGAUAUCACGAAGAACUCCGAUUGCGAAGGCAGCCUGCUAAGCUGCAACUGACAUUGAGGCUCGAAAGUGUGGGUAUCAAACAGGAUUAGAUACCCUGGUAGUCCACACGGUAAACGAUGAAUACUCGCUGUUUGCGAUAUACUGCAAGCGGCCAAGCGAAAGCGUUAAGUAUUCCACCUGGGGAGUACGCCGGCAACGGUGAAACUCAAAGGAAUUGACGGGGGCCCGCACAAGCGGAGGAACAUGUGGUUUAAUUCGAUGAUACGCGAGGAACCUUACCCGGGCUUAAAUUGCAGAUGAAUUACGGUGAAAGCCGUAAGCCGCAAGGCAUCUGUGAAGGUGCUGCAUGGUUGUCGUCAGCUCGUGCCGUGAGGUGUCGGCUUAAGUGCCAUAACGAGCGCAACCCUUGUUGUCAGUUACUAACAGGUUCCGCUGAGGACUCUGACAAGACUGCCAUCGUAAGAUGUGAGGAAGGUGGGGAUGACGUCAAAUCAGCACGGCCCUUACGUCCGGGGCUACACACGUGUUACAAUGGGGGGUACAGAGGGCCGCUACCACGCGAGUGGAUGCCAAUCCCCAAAACCUCUCUCAGUUCGGACUGGAGUCUGCAACCCGACUCCACGAAGCUGGAUUCGCUAGUAAUCGCGCAUCAGCCACGGCGCGGUGAAUACGUUCCCGGGCCUUGUACACACCGCC